UAUGCAUUAAAGCAUCUAAUCAGAUCUCUUAGAUUUACUAGGGUUCGGAUGUUCAAUUGGACUCAUCUUAUGACCCAAAUUGAACCAAUUCGAAUCCCUAGGUGAACAUAAUCUAGAUUACAUAUCAUAACGAUGCAUAAUCAUACUCAAGCAUAAAUAUGAUCAUAAUCAUGACAUCAUGCAUCUAAACAUAUCUCUAAGAUGGUUUAGGAUUUGGACGUUCAAUUAAUCUCAACUCUUAGGCUAAUUUGAACCAAACCAAAACCCCAACUUGAUCACAAUCAACACUACAUUCUAUCCUUUGAUUGUAUUCAUCA
rnacentral:lncRNA from 1 species